rnacentral:lncRNA from 1 species
AAGAUCUUGUCGGUCCAUCCAAGAAUCUUAACGAGGAUUUUCUCAUAAGUCAUACCCGCUUGAAUCUACAUCUCAUCAUGAGGAAUGAUACGAGAAAGGUCAAGGCGGUACCUUUUAAGCAUCGAGACAUAGAAGACGUCAUGUAAACCCACAAAUUCUCGGGGAAGAGUAAGGCGGUAUGCCACGGGUCCAAUAUGUUCAAUGAUUUGAAAAGGUAUAACAUAUCGAGGGCUUAACUUCCUU